UACGUAGGGGGCAAGCGUUAUCCGGAUUUACUGGGUGCAAAGGGAGCGUAGGUGGCAUGGUAAGCCAGAAGUGAAAACCCGGGGCUCAACCCCGCGGAUUGCUUUUGGAACUAUCAGGCUGGAGUGCUGGAGGGGUAAGCGGAAUUCCUAGUGUAGCGGUGAAAUGCGUAGAUAUUAGGAGGAACACCGGUGGCGAAGGCGGCUUACUGGACAGAAACUGACACUGAGGCUCGAAAGCGUGGGGAGCAAACAGG
rnacentral:rRNA from 1 species